AUCAUCUAGUUGUGUCAUUGUCAAUGGAUUACAAUGAAAACACAUAUAUUAGAUUAUGCAUAUCAGUAUCACACAUGAUUCGUCUGAGACUUCUAAGAAGAGAGAGGGUAUGAUUAACAAUUUUACAAUUGCAGUUCGCUUAUAGUAUAAAAAAAAGUAGACUAAGUCAAAGCUCAUCACAAAUUUCCUAUUCUGUAACGAGAGUUGUCCAAAUUAAAAUGAGGACAAGCUGAAAGAGCAUACAGAUUCAAAGUUAGCGGCUUUGAAUAUAAACAAAAGAUAUGUCUAGGCCCCAUCCGGCUGCAGGAAAGGGUUGGCAAUUUCAUCUGUACCAUCAGUUGGUGAGACAAGCAUCACAGCAGUUCCCCUGCAUACUAUUAGGCCAAGACGCCUGGUCUGAUCAGUAGUCUUCAGAGGAUCAUCAGGAUCUCUCAGGUAUUCUAUAGCUUCAUCCAGGACAAGAUU
rnacentral:misc_RNA from 1 species